rnacentral:rRNA from 1 species
CCUACGGGAUGCAGCAGUAGGGAAUCUUCCACAAUGGGCGAAAGCCUGAUGGAGCAACGCCGCGUGGGUGAAGAAGGUCUUCGGAUCGUAAAACCCUGUUGUUAGAGAAGAAAGUGCGUGAGAGUAACUGUUCACGUGUCGACGGUAUCUAACCAGAAAGCCACGGCUAACUACGUGCCAGCAGCCGCGGUAAUACGUAGGUGGCAAGCGUUAUCCGGAUUUAUUGGGCGUAAAGGGAACGCAGGCGGUCUUUUAAGUCUGAUGUGAAAGCCUUCGGCUUAACCGGAGUAGUGCAUUGGAAACUGGGAGACUUGAGUGCAGAAGAGGAGAGUGGAACUCCAUGUGUAGCGGUGAAAUGCGUAGAUAUAUGGAAGAACACCAGUGGCGAAAGCGGCUCUCUGGUCUGUAACUGACGCUGAGGUUCGAAAGCGUGGGUAGCAAACAGGAUUAGAUACCCCAGUAGUC